ensembl:lncRNA
CUUGGGACAACUGGCCCUAAGUGGACUACGGCAUUGGAUUUUUCUCCUGGAUCAGAAUCAGGUCACAUUUGGCCAUCUGGUAGGAGCAUCUCUGAGAUCACUCAGGGCCAGCAUUUCCAGUAUACAGCAGGAGCUGACACUGGAGCUGUCAUGGCAGAUAGAGUGAUAGAUAGCCUCUCUUUCAGGAGAGGAUAAUCUGAGUUUUAAUCCCCGCUUGAAUGACUCUAAUCAAGCCAUGCCCCUCAUCUGUGAAAUACAGUUAAGAGUCGUUGCCCCAGCAACCAACUGAAAGUUCUUGAAUAACUGUCAUCCAAUUGGUAGGUUUAGCCCCACCCAACCAAGACUUCAGAGAUUGGCCCCACCCCACAGACCACAGUCACCAGUAGAGAGAGGAAGGCCAAGAGGAAGAGCUUCCCAAGAAGAAGCCCUCAGGGGAGCUAUUCACCUCCCUGAGGCAGGAAGGAGGCUGGGAGAUGGGGAGAAAGGGAAGCAAGUAGUCCCCUUCAAGGGUUUAGGGGGCCAGGGUCCAACAUGGGUCCCAUAUACGCAAAAGCCUCCUAAAGAUGCUUUUUUCAGAAGCUGCCUCAGGGCUGCUGAUCAGAUAGGGAAGGAACCACCAUGAGAAGCCAGCUGCUGAGGAGAAAACCCUUUUGCUCAGUCUUCAAGGGAAGAAAGCUCUGCCACCAUGAGUCCCCAGUUGCGGGCGGGCCUAGGUUUUUUUCUCAUGAAGGGAGUUGAUGAAAAGGCAUGGGGAACUGUGAAAUGAGGGUUCAGCAAAAGCUUCAAACUGACCUAUAUAAAUCUAUUAAAAUAUAACAGAACCAAAGCCUGCUCACACAAGAAGAGCAUAUCCAGGAGGCCCUGCUGGGAUGUGGGGACAUUGUAGGCGCAGCACCAGGCCCAGGAGCGCACAGUUUGGACUUCUCUCACGGUGCGGUGAUCCUCUCACGCGGGACCACCGUGCGCCGCCGCCACCGCUUCUCCCCAGCCUCACUUAUGUUCCUACCCAAACGGCAGACAUGUCUGAAGAGAGCAAUGUUCCCAGAGGCUGCGGCUGUCCUCUGGUCAAGCAUCCCUUGAGUGAAAUGAGUGAUACAGACAGUAAAAGCGAUGCCACUUCUCAGAAUGAAAUCAAGCUGAUAUCUGGCAAAUCCUCUUCAAAACCUCCAAAACCUCCAAAACCUCAGCUACUAGGAGGAGGAAACUGCCUUCCCAACAGCAGCUAUGUCAAAACAAGGAAGGUGAUGUGAGACCACAGGGAAGUCCCCAUGACUUUCCACGUACCGGUCUCUCCAUAUGGAGCAGUUUCACCAAGAAGCAAAUAUAGCAAACUGAAAGAAAGCGAACCGAAGGCGAAAGGUGGGCAGACAGGAGCAACAGGGUCCCAGGGGGAAUGGACAAAGAUCCAAGAUACUCAAGUGAAUCCAAACUCCCAAACUCAGCCUUGAAGACGUUUUCUUAGCGAGCUGACCAGAGGUUUUUUUGAAGUGCCUUAAAAUAAAUAGAGGUGAUUUCCUACACAGGGUUUUCUUUGUUUGUUUUUUGUUUUUUAACUUCUGUCACUGAAGUGUGUGUUUCAAUUUCCUGAACUUUUUAUAUGAAUGUAUAUAACACAUACAUUUAAAAACAGCCACUUUAGAGGGCAAACUGAAAUUGAGAGGGCUUGAUUUUUCCUCUUAAUCGCCAAUCAAGUAGUGUGUCCUCAAUCUUUUAAGGAAAAAACCGAUUCGCCACAGACCUCCCAACAUACCCUCCGAGACGCUUUUGUGUUCCCAGAAACACCGUAUCUAAAAAUCCUGACUUUGUCCCUUCUGGGCUGCCUUUUUGUCUCUUUAGGAGUUUUAUUUACCAGCCAUGAAUUAAGUGAAGACAGGGAAGGAUCAGAAGAAGGAAGAAAUAGCAAUCAAGUUAAUUUUGCCACUUAUUCCCACCCAGCCACCCAGGGUGCAAUCUGAUGCUGAGAUUGCAAGUCGAAUGAGGGUUUGCAGUUGUUUCCCCAAAUGGUCACAGGCCCAUAUUGAUGGACAGACGGCCCAUCCGACAAGAAGAGCUGCUUGCUUCUUAGACGGUUGAAUGGAUGCCUGAUGACAGGUGCUGAAUCAGCUCCUACUCCUUCAGCCAGAGACAAGGGGCUGAGAUCCCAGGCUCUUUGCCUUAGAACUUCCAUCACUCCAUAUCCACGAAGCCUAGCUUCCUGUCCCGAAGUCUGAGACACUCUCACACCAAAGAAUUUUACCCUUCCUGCCGUAGACGGGGGUGGGGAUUGGGGUGUGGGGAAACUUGAUCUUACACUUAGAGCUCUUCCUAAUUGGAAACAGAAAGGGGCCUUCAAUAUGAAGUAGGAUCCCUUUGUUUACUGAUUAGGAAAUAAAUUAACAAACUGAAGAAUAUUGAGUAUGAAUGCCUACCCACCCCACUACUUUACUCUAGCAAAUCCAACUAUUUCACCCUCCUGGUUUAGAUCUUUUUUUUUAACGUAAGAUACUACUGGUGUCCAUGAUGCUUCUAUUCGGGCAUGAGGGCAAACAGGAUAAACAGAAGAGUUUCCUGUAACAAAACGCCUAGAAAAUGCUGGGAACAAUUUAGAAAACUUAACUUUAAUGCAUAGUUGAGCUUGCAAGAAGGUAUGGGAAACUUCCCUGGGGGCUAGAAGGUCAAAGGAACAGAAAUCCAGAGUGUUGACCAAUAGCAGCCGCCACACAUUGCUGCCUAAGAAGGGGAGAGUGUGGUUGGAAGGGUUAUGCUUUAGGAAGCCUGACCUUCAGUGCCCACACAGAGGGAGAGAAGACAGAACCUCUGGCUUUGCCAGGGGGUGCUGGGAACCAGCACUCCUCACACAGGCACAUCAAACUGGGAUUCUUUAAAAGCAAUACUUACUCUUAGAUAAAGGGGAAAUUUAGAAACAUUCACAUGGGAAGAUGAUCCCCAGAGAAUUCUUUAACUAAGGUCUAGGACUCAGAGGCUUUAGAGUUUAAAUACACACUCACUCUCCUCACACUUGCAGAACUCAAAACAUUGACACUGAGCCAAUGCUAUCCCUAGGUUACCUGGCAGAAGCAAAUGAAAUAUCUCUGUACAGGACUCACCCAUAGGCCAGGGCUCCCAAGGAUCCCACAGAUAAAACUCUGUCAAAGAUGAGCUCAUUUCAGUCCAGGCGGUAACAGACUGAAAGAAACAAUUUACCCCCUGGCUUACAUAUUCCCACAUUUUUCCCAACUACAAGAUACCCCUGUUGUGUGAUACAAACUGCUCCUGUUUGCAGCAGAAUUUGGCCCUAAGAAUUGUGUGCCCUUCCUCCUUGAGAGCAACCACUAAAUCAUUGCUGAUUCCCAUCCAUCGUUUUAUACUAUACUGAGUGAUUCCAUAAAGAGCAUACACAUUUGUUUGCAAUCUCGAACUUACAAGAGAUGACAGUGAUGCUCAGUAAAAGGCCUGCUUUUGCUGGGAGCUUGUCUCCAAAUGAAGAGCACACUCCACAGUCUCAACAGAGGCUGAGUGCUCCCCAUGACUCUCUGCAUAAGGGCAAUGAACCCUCCUAGCCUCAGGGUCAUCAGAGAGCCACCAGCAUCUCAAGGGCAGGGCCCAUGUCUGAUUCAAUACCCUUGGAUCUUGAGUACUCAGGAAAGACACUGGCAUACAGCCAGGUGGAGACCUAGAAAUGGGCAUCACACCAAUGGCAGUGCCUCCUCACAUGGCUCAUGCAUCCCCACCCCUCAGCUUAUGUUUCCUCCCCACACUUGUCAGCUAAACCAGCUGCUCCUCUCCUGCAGCUGUGCCCCACCCUGCCCCACCGCAGUCUCCACCAAGGUUUCCGCCAUGGCUGAGCUGAUGAUGCUCUGUGCCUGGAGAGCUGGGCACCAGAGCAGAGAGAGCCUCUAGAGGGCAGAGACCGGCAGAAACUGAAACACAGCCAGGCGGUAGUGCCCAGGGUUCAAGGCCUCUUCCUACUCCAAACGCUGAUGGCAGAGUGACUGCCCGCUGCUGCCCCCCAUCUGGGAGGGCCCCACAGACCCUGUCUUUUCUGCUAUCAUCAUACCUUGUCCAUCGCAGUGUCCUUCUGAGGUGAUGUUCCUCCUGCUGUUGGCCUCUUGAGCCCAAACAGCACACGGUGCGUGGCUUUUGAAACAGGUUUAGUGAUGGGAAGGUCAGGAAGAGGAGGGAGGGAGUGAGGAGGUCCAGGGGAAGGAGCACCGAGUUCUGAAUUAAACAAGCGUUAGCUCUAAGCUGGCAUGAGGUUUUCUGAAACACAAAUGUGACUGCGUAAGUCCUCUGUGUUGUAAACUCCUCUGGCGCACUCUAAGGGAAAAUGCCCCAUUUCUGUGUGUCACCACAAAUUAUCCCACUUCCUGCCUUUGACAUCCUUGAGUUCCUCCUGAAGAGCUGGGCUCCUUCUUGACCGCCGAGUAUGUGCUGGUCCUCCUGGCCUUUGCACUGCGCUCCCCUCACCCACCUCCUGCCCAGUCUCCCUGUCAUGCAACAAACGCUUCUUACCUGAGUCAUGAGUGAUCCAAGAAGUGUUAGGUUCUUAGUUGAAAACGUUUCAGACCGAAAUCAGUUUUUGUUACUAUGGUCAGCAUCUCCUUUGAUGGCCCUUGUCCUUUGGGGUCCCAAAGAGAAAAGACACAAACCAAUCAGACUGGUGAGCCCUUGGGAGACUGCCCGCCACUCCUAACUAGGGCAUCACUGAAGAAAGACGUGUCUCAAAGGAGUGUCUUUGACCAAAAUUCACCCAACUCACAGGAACCCCUCUCCCCUGCCAAGCAGUUCUCACCACCUGACCCCAUUCCUGUCUUGUUUCAACUCCCAUAGCCCCCACCAGCUUCAAUGAUGCUGGCAAGGAGGGUUCUCUCUGCAGAGAUGGACUACAACCCUUGUCCACAGUGUCAGAGGACCCUGUUCCCAGAGUUUCCCACCCUGUCUCCUGCUUGUCACUCAUCUUGUGACAAAACCUCUGCCUGGAAGCAUUCCGGGACCCUGACUGGAUGGGUCAUGGUGGCCCCUGGGGUCUUGGUCCCACAUCAAGUAUAAGCGGGACAGGUGCAAAAUCCCUGAAUUGGAAUGACCCUCUGUCCUCAGCAGAGGAGACAGGAAAAGCGCUCUCACCCUGGGGAGUGCUGGCCACACAGAAGGGCUGUGUCAUGCAGAGAAGGCACAGGAGCAGAGGGCUGCUGCAACAGACCCCCACUCACUGCAUGGCAUGACUGUCUCCCAAGAUUGUGAACUUCUCUGGACAGGGACCAUGUCUUAUUCACCUUUGUUCUGCUGUGUCCAGCACGUGCAGGCGUUCAAUGAAUGAGAGCAAUGAUUGGCACUUGGAAGGGCAGUUAGGAACCAGGGAGGGUGGGACAUGAUAAGGAAGGAUUCUCUAAUCCGAACCUGCACUGCCCACCAGGACUGGUUGGUCUCUGGAUGGAAGAAGCAAUGGGGGUUUAGGUGGUAAACAAGCACCUGCUCCACAGCCUGAUCCCACAGCCCAGCAUGAAGACAGGCUAAGAGCCAGAACACAGAGAGCUGGGCUUCUGACAGUCACCCCCAGAGACUGCCUGCCAUUCCUGUCCUCUUACCAGAUGCUCUGCCUGUAGGUCAAGGCCUAUUUCAAACAUUUUAGCUUGGAAGGGUCCGGGUUUUUUUUAAUGCAAUGUCAUGAAAUUUAGCACAUGGCCUUUGUGGCAUCUGUUUCACUGCCCUAAUUUUUUUUUUUUCCUUUUCCUGUUUGUUUCAGACAACUGAGGUUGCUAGGUAAAAGAAUCUGCAUGCAAAUGAGGUGUUGCUAAAUAUUCUCAGCCAUGAUACAAAUCAGGGAUCCUAAGCUUUUUUUUAAUAUUAAAAUAGUGGUGUAGAAAAGUUCAAACAGAUGUGAACUGUGGCCAUCACAGAGACAAGGGAUGAGGCGGUCUGUAAACAGUACGAAGGGGCAGGUGCUCCCAGAAGCAGCCAGGCAGUCAUAGAGUGCAGCCUGGAGGCUCUGCACUGGACCAGCAAGAUGUAUAGGAGACAUCAAGAGGGCACAAGAGGGAUGGUAAAAGCAUCACGUGGUGCUUUAUGGCAUUGAACAGCAACAUUGCAAAAAAAAAAAAAAGACAGUUUCUCCUUUUUCUAUAUUGGAGGCAGAUAUAAUUUUUUUGUCAGAGUUCUGAUAAAGCUUUUAUUACUAAUUUAAAAGAAGAUAAAUAUAGUAAGAAAAAAGUCAAGGAAAACAGUUUUUAAUCUAUCAAAAUUUUAAACUGUGUACCAUUCACCCCAGAAAUCCCACUUUGGGGCAUCCAUUCGAGGGAAACAUUCAUGGUAGAUAAAGCAGCUUACACCAUUUUUAAAGCAUUUUAUGGCAAAAAUGUCUAUAUCAGUAAGGGAACAAUGAACUAGGAUAGGACACAGCCAAACUGUUGGAAUACUAGGCAGCAAUGAAAAAGCGAAAGCUUCUGCUGUUCAGACCCUAGGCUUCUAUCAAGCACAGAUCUGUUAUCACAGGGAGAGCAGAGCACAAAUGCAAGUCAGCGUUUGCCUGCCAUGAGGAAAAACAAACAGUCCCCAAAUCCACACACACAGAGCCUGGCUAAAACUAAGGAUGGCCAGGGAAACAGAAAUUCUCUUUAUCACUCCCCCAUGAGCCUGGCACCAAGUAACAAGCAACAUCAGUCUACCGCUGAUGGGGAAGCAACGCAUACAGACACAGCCUCUCUGUGGCAUGGAUAUGACGGGGCUUCUCAAAGCCGAUGGUACAGCAGGAACACUGAGAAAGACCUUCUGGUGCCCCAGAUACCACUCUCAGGACAAGUUAACAGCAGACCCACUGCUAAAGGAAUCUGAAGUCUGUGAUGCACUGGGGUAAUGAUAUCACCAAAGAAAUAAAAACCUACCUCAUCUCAUAAUCCAUACUAACAAGCUGACAGAAUAGGCAUGCUCAUUUCUGGGCACAGAUACUGUUUAUUAAUUUAUUCCUCUAAAAUGAUGUUUAGCAUUACAUUUAAAGCAUCAAUACACAUUUUUAAAGGCAGAUAAAACUACUAUCAAAAGGUAGUCAUCAGAAAUGUACUCAGAGAUUGCCCAGAUCUUGGGACUUCUCGGAGAAUUAACAUAACUACAAUUAAUAUGCUACAUGAUCCAGUGGAAAAGGUGGAAACCUGCAAGAACAGAUGGGGGGAUUUCAGCAGAGAUAUGAAACUAUAAAAUAGUCAAAUGGAUGGAAAUGCUAGAAAUAAGAGACACCAUGUCAGAAAUGAAGAAGUGCUUUGACAGGCUCAGAUCAAACGAUGCAUAGCUGAUAAAAGCAUUAUUGUACUCAACAGGUCAGUAAGAAUAAGCUGAAACACAAAGAAAAAUGAGAAUGGGGAAAAAAGAUAAUACCCAGAAAAGAAUAGUCAAAAGUUGUGGGACAAUAUCAGUCUAGCAUAAGUGAAGCUGCAAGAGGAAAAGAACAUUAGAAUUAUCUGAACUAACGGUCAACAUUUUUCUAAAGUCAAUGGCAGCAAACCAUACACCCAGGAAAUCCAGACAAUUCAGAACACAGCUGAGCAGUGUCUUUAGAGUAGAAAGGGAAAAAAAAAAUCCUCUGUUAACACAUCAUUUAAUGUACAGGCCUCUAUCUCAAAAAACUUCUAUAACUGUGCCUUGACUUCUAACAUGCAGAACAGUUCUGAGUCAGAGCCUUUCUGAGAUGCUCUUCCCAUCUUAUAAUCCUCAAUUUGGCUCAAACAAAAUUUGCAUUUCUUUUUAAAAAAAAUGUGUGAGGUACAUCAAAAAGUUAAACACAGAAUUAUCAUCUGACCAGAAACUUCUCUCUUAGAUAUAUACCCAACAGAAUGGAAAGCAGGUAUUCACAGAAAUAUCUGUAAAAGAAUGUUCAUGGCAGACACACUAUUCAUAAUAGCCAAAAAGUGGAAACAACCCAAAUGUCUAUCAAUGGAUGAAUGAAAAAAUCAAAUGCAGUAUAUCCACAAAAUAGAAUAUUAUCCAGCCAUAGAAGGAAUGAAGUAUGAUAGAUGUUUCAGUGUGAAUGAACCUCAGAAAAAUUAUGCUAAAUGAAAGAAAUCGGAAAUGCCAUGUGGGGACUUCUCGGGCAGUCCAAUAGCUAGGCCUCCACGCUCCUAAUGUUGGGGGUCAGGGUUCAAUCCCUGGUCACAAAGGUAGAUGGCAACGUGCCGCGGUGAAGGCUGGAGACCCAGUGUGAUGCAACUAAGAUGCAAUGCAGUCAAAUAAACGAUUUAAAAAACGCCAUGUGUUGUUAUGACUCCAUUUACACGAAAUAUCCAGAAUAGGUAAAUUCAUAGAGAUAGAAAGCAGAUUACUGGUUCCUAGGGGCUGGAGGGGAGAAUAGGAUGUGAUUGCCUGGGAACGAUGAAAAUGUUUUGAAACUAGACAGGUGGCUGUAUACACUGUGAGCAUAGUAAAUGCCACUGAAUUGUACUUUAAAACUGUAAAUUUUAUGUGAACGUCAUCCCAAUUUUUUAAAAGACACGGAUAAUCACAGACAAAUUAUAAUCCCUUGCUUUAAAAUAACUGUGUACAGGUAAUUAAGCUUUAUGGUAUGGAAUAUUGUGAAAAGACAUAGCUCUGCCAUGCACAGAUACAUUAUCCGCAGAAGUAGCUUCACAAACAUGACAAUAAAAUUCACUAAAUUUUUUUUUUAAAGAUGACUUUCUCAUACAACCCAAAACUGAGAAGUCAUUGUCAUCAGCCCCAAAACUGAGAAGUCGUUGUCAUCAGCCCUACAGGAAUAUUACAAGAAAUUCUCCAGGCAGAAGGAGUAUGACACCAGACGGAAAUUUGGAUCUACACAAAGACACGAGAAGUGUCAGAAAUGGUGAAAAGAAAUUCCUACAAGUCAAUUUAUUGAAGUCAGUUGCAAGCUUAUUUACAAUUUGCUCAUCAAGACUCACUUCAAGACUCUCUCCUCAUUGCUUCUAAUUCUAAACCGUUGUCCCGUGACCCUGUGCCUGGGUCUCCAGUCUGCCUUAAACCGCUUGAACCUACAGCCAACACUUUACAACUAUCCAACUUCUGACUUUCCCCUUCUGAGAUACUGCUAAGACUGUCAAAGUGAUGGUCUCUCUUACUGCAGUGAGUUCACAUAAAUUUAGUUUGCUUUAUUUUUUUUUUUUAAGAGAAAGCAACUAAUACAGUAAAGUAUGAUUCCACAUAUGUGGAGUACCCACCAACCUCUUCCAGCAGUCGCAGUGGGAGAGGACUAUUCUGGAAGGUUCUGGGAUAAAAAGGAGGAUUUGCUUCUUCACACUAUAUUCUUUUGUGUUAUUUGAAUGCUUCACAAUGAGCAUGUAUUGUCUCUUUGAUUUAAAAAAGUCCAAUUUCUAAAAGAAUUAGGAACUGCAGCUUGCUCAGGCCAUAGAGUUAUGAGUUUAGAUGGAUAUGUUUAACUCAAAAUGUAUCACGCAUCAGAAAUAAUUUUUGCUGGUCAGUACAAUAACUUGGGCGGCGAAGUACUUUUAUUUUUAUAAAAUUGUACCUAAGACGUUAAGAAGUAUGGGAGUCAUGAUCAGACUCUCAUUUGGCCCACUGGGUCCUAGGAGGUAAUAAAAUUAGUCAGUGAAGUGGAAGGCUGGCCCCUACUGCAGUAAGUCCUUGGGGCAGGAGGCAGUGGAGCCAGCCCUGCUCUAAAACUUGGGAGAAAAGUACAAGGGGACAUAGGAGGGAGGCUCAGCCCAAAUCAGAGAGCAGCUGUUGCAGGCAGACCUUACUCUGAGCUUCAGGUCAACCCCACGCAACUUCCCUAUGACCCCCCCAACUCAAUCCAUCCCAGUCCAGGCCCAGAGUCCACACCACAUCACACAGCCAGCCACCCUACCCAAAGGGCGAGCAGGCCCCUCACCUGGUGGGCAAUUGGCAUCAGUUUGGCCAUGAGGUCUUCCACAGAUUCCACAUGGUCAAGGACUCCUUGCAAGGCCAACUGCUGACCUGGGGGGUGGCGGAUGCCUUCCAUGUUCCCUUUGCCCCAAAGCCUAUUUUUACAAAUGGGAAAACCAAGACCCAAAGAGCUAGGGUGACUUUAUCAGGGUCAUAGUAAUUCAGAAGCUGAAACCUUUAUAACACCAACUCCCUUGACUUGAAAGAAAGAAAAAAUUCUGGCAUCUGGAAGGGGUUUUUGUAUUCAGCAAUAUUUCCAUGCUUCACACAAAAAAGAAAAGUCAAAUGGUUUAUUCAAUACACACACACUAAGCUAGGUCAGAAUUCCCACUAAUUUCAUACACAUAGUUUAGUCAGGUUUAUUAAGGAAGCCAGGACAAUCAUUCUGAGUCUCUCUCUAGAAGGAAGCCUCAGAUGGAAACAUACCAACGAUUUUUUUUGCUGCUGUUUCUCCUAUUUUUGUGUAGUGUCAUGAAGGCUUUAUUAAGAAGUCAUUUGUAAGAAGUAGGCACUAACUGGUCAUCCCAGGCUGUGUUCUCAGCCUGCUCCUAACAGGGCUCAUCCUCAGGGACCCAAAUGUGCACUCUCGAGAGUCAGGGCAGGGGAGAAGCUGACAUCUGCCUCGUCCUGGUUCCUUCUGAUAGAAGAUGCCCAGCUCUGGGGACUGGGAAGCCCAGAGAGCAGACAAAAGGGUCCCAUGUCGUCUCGGACAUGGGAUCCUUCCAUCUGAAAGGGGCCUUGGAGGAAUGGGGAAUGCGAUCUUGAGCUGUUGUGAUUUCCCAGACGCGUUCUGUGCGUAGGUUGGGAGCAGCACCCUGAAAACAGAGCCAGGAACGUGCCCAGGGUGAGUCAGACAGUACUGGGGACCCGCGGCCUAGCCAACUCUCGGGUCAGCCAGCGCCCGGCCAGGGGUCUCAGCGUUGUGCUGCACUGCGAAACAGGUAUGGUGGUCAGGAAGCUCUUCCCCACACUGAGAAGGAGUCUCCUUUGGGGAACUUCUCUGUUGGGCCAGGUUCUGGUGGUCCUCAUAAGCCCAGCAUCAUUCUCCCCUAAAAAGUCUCUGGAUUCAUCAUCAGGAUUUGCUGUAGGGCUGAACUGUGCAAAAUCAUCAGACUCAGCAAACCUCCAUCUAUCUCCUUGUCUAUCUCCUGCCUGUGUGGAGCAUCUGGCCUGCUCUGUGAGGUCAGGGUGGCAGUGCGUUCAUUUUAUUGUGGCAUUUUUACGUAGACCUAUUCUGCUUUCCAGAUUAGUAGGUCAGCCCCGGAUCUCUCCCAACUAUCAGCCUAAAGUUGCCCAAGAAUCUCCAGAGAUUGCUCAGCCUGUUUUCUCCCACCUCCUGGGGUGAGAAUCAGAAGUCAGCUGCAGUUUUUAGCUUCCGUAGCUUCCGUGACUUCUGCUGCUUGUAUACAAUGUUGCCUCUGACCACUGACCCUAUAUAGUAAGAUGCACUCUUGCUCACAAAUAGGAUGGUGUUCUUGAUGGUUCAGAUCCCCAACGAGGUCGCAAGUGGGAAACCCAAGAGCCCACAUACCCUCGUUUGCUCUGUCCUGUCCUCAGCUUGCCCACAGGGCCGGCCAGAGCCCUCACCAUGACACCAUCUCUUUGGAGACCCUUUUUUCACAGUGGCUUUCUGCUGCAGAGGCUUAAGACUAAGGGCAAAUCCAAGUACCUUGUCUCUCCAGAGGAACGCACAUUGAAGCUCAUGGUCUCUGAAGCUUGGGGGUUUGUUCGAGACCUUAACACACACACAGGCAGAAGCCACUCAUCUCACAUGGAUAUAGCUAAGAUGGGCUUCUUGGGAGGUUCCUCCCAAACAAAGAUCCUGAUCUGGGUCCCUACUGUGCAUGGCAGUAACAGGACACCCGGAAGUAGUAGCUUUGUUGAUGAAACAUUUGAAAAACACAUCUAUUCCACUAGGCAACUGACAACAUAUUUCUAACAGUCACUUGUAGUUAAAUUCCAAAAAAAAAAUUCUUGAAUAACUUCUUAAAAGGAUUUUGAGAGACCACCUCUCUCACAGUCAGUGGUAUCCACUCUGGAAAUGGAUUGCCUCCACUUCCUAAUUAUCCACAAGUGGGUGAAGGAGCAAGGGCCAGAGGAGUGGGAGGGAAGAAUCUGCCUUCUAAAUGCUGAGAGCCUAUUGUGAGAUGACAUUAUAAGUACUGGUGUCACUGUUCUAACUGAACAGAUACUUCUGUCUGCAGAUUGGGCCACACUGACCAGGGCAUAGGGUCACAGCCUUUCUGGCCCUUCCCUAAUGAUGGAUGUCAAUUCUGUCUCCCUGUUGGAAGUGGACAUUGCCAAGGCUGGAUAUCUGGGGCCUCCAGCCAUGGCACUGGCCAGUCAGCACAGAGCAGGCCUGAGGGCUCAUGUGCCCCAUGGCUAAGCAUGACUUCAGAGUCCGCAGUCCUCAGCAGGGCCGCUGAGUGUGAGCCCAGCUUGUGUGUGACCAGAGCUCCUGCUUGGUCCCCUGUCUCUGCCUCCCCCACAUCUCUUGGCCAAGCUUUGUCCUCUGCUGAAUUAGCACAACUGCCUUCUUCUCCAGACCUCCCCCCGGGUCUGGCCCAGUCACCCAGGCCUGGGUUAGGGAUCACCUUCUCCACUGCCUGGCAGGUGUUCAAAGAGAGGAUUUGAGAGCCCUGGCAUUGCCAUUGAUUAGCUGCAUGUCCUUAACCAAGUUUCUUGGCUUCUCUGUGCCUCAGUUUCCUAAUCUGUAAAUGGGGAUAAUAGCACCUACCAAAUAGGGUUGCAAGUGAACACAUAGGAACUACUUAGGGAAGUACCUGGCACACAAUGAGGCCCAAUUAACUGCCACCAUUACUAUGAUCACUGCUUGCUCAGGACGUCUCGGCCCUUCGUCCCUCUAGCUGCCCAUGGCUAUGUCAUACAGCUAGGAGAACCUCUGACUGGAUACCUAGAGACCAGAGAGACUCAGUGGGCCUUACCAAGGACUUCACUUCGCUUACAUUUCUCUCUGUCUUGGUGUGGGGCCUUAACAAGGGGUAGGGAGCCCGCUCCUGGCCUCAAACGGAGCAGAGCCAACCCUCCGACCCCUGCAGUCACGCUGAACCCAGGGAUGCCGGGAGGCCACAGCCCCCAGAGAGCAGCAGUGGCCCCUGGAGGGCAGUGAGGCCUCAGAUGGGUCCACAAGGUUGCUUCCUUACUCCUAAUUUGUGAGGUCAGGAUCAGACAAUCUCCAGUAUCCUUUCCUUUAGUAUGACCUGUUAGGAUCUGGCUUAUUCUAAAGGGUCCCUCAGUUACCUAUGGAUCGUCUUAAUAAUCCACAGAACCUAAAUUCAGGGAUCGUGGGAUCUGCCUGAAAGAAGAAGAAAUAAGGGUUUGAAAUUAGUGUAAAACUCAGAAUCAGAAAAUGAAGUUCUCCAAACAAAUGGUCUGGUUUUCCAGAUGACAGAUACUCACUUUUCUAAAAAGCACCAAGAUGUAGAGCUCAAAGCUACAGAACUGCAGCAAACUCCUCACUCUCUUUUAAGGAAAAUUUUCAGAAAAACCAAAUUACAUGCUGAAUUUUAAAAAGUAGUGUGUCGAGGAAAAGCUAUGAAGGAAAGCAGAAAAAGCCCUGCUCCACCUCCCAGGGGCACAUCCUUGUGCCCCACAGCAGGGGAUCACCUGGACUCCGGGGACGGUUGGGGCUGGCAACACUCUGCCCUCCACCCAAUGCUGGCUACCCAGGGGUGCCAAGGGGGUUGUUGUCGUCACACUUGUAAUCUUUGUACACUGGGUACAGGCGUGAUAUUUCCCAGCAAUAAGGGGUUCAAGAGAGUAGCUAAGGGGUUACUCAAGCAGUUUUCAUAACCAUUGCUUGAUGCUUCUUGUGUACAAAGCACAGCUCAAAAGUCAUCCUCAUUUUAUCAAUAUGUCAUGGUGGCCAGGGAUGUGUGCCUCUCAGCCUCCUUCAAGAGAGCCUGCUAUGGGCACAGAGCCCCCAGACUAACAGCUUCCAGCUCCAGCCCGUGACCCCGGGGCCCCACCUCCUCCAGGCUGCCCGCGGGCAGUGACCGAGCGCAGCAGAGGUCGUAGUGCUGGCCCACUCCUGCCAAACGCGGGGCGCUCCCAGAGAGACACUUCUGCUCAGGGCCUUUGGCCUGGCUGAGAUUUUCUCAGAACUGCACUGCGGUUUGAGGCUCUUCCUACUCAGCCCUUGCCUCCCUCUUUCCUUUCACAGGAGGCAGACCUACCUCCGGUUUGAAGGCUUUUUUCUGCGCGUCUCUCUCCCCCUUGUUCUUCACAGGCAUGCCCCCCACAAACCUCCUUGUGUGUCUAAUUCCACAGUGGCACCUGCUUCUCAGGGGGCCCAAAUAGGCAUCUGUGUUACAAGGCUUUUCCCCACACAUUCUUUUAAAAAUUGAGACCAUCCUCAGUGUAUGGUUUUGCGUAGCUUUUCAUUAGACACUUUGAGUGUUCUCCUGUGCUGUUGAGUGUGCUUCAGAAUCAGUGCAUAAAAGGGCUGCAUGACAUUACAUGCUAGGGAUGCACAUUAUCUAUUUAAAGACAUUUAUGGAUUCACAGUAUCUAUUUAUUAUGGUUGAAACUGCUAAAACUUUUGAAUACCCUUCCUCCAUUUGGGAAACUCUCGACAUUAGUGGGACCUGUCUUCCCAGCUAGACACCCUAAUUUGCUUUCUCAGGCUCCUUUGCAGCCAGGGUGCAGACAGACAGAUGGCUCUGCCAGCCACAGCUGCAGGAACCCUGAAUCAGAAUGAGAGCAGUGCCUCUUGUGGGACAAGGUUUCUACCAGGGGCGGUGAGUGGUCUCUGCUUGUUCUUCGUUCUAUAGAGACAUUACCUUCUGGGCUGCAAGGAAGUAUCAGCUUUAUUUACAGAAAAGGAAACUAAAAACCAGAGAUAAUUGUUCAAAGUAACUCAUCCACCAUUAGGCCCCUUACCCUGGCUUGAGGUAUUUGGACUCUUAACUGCCCCCAAAUUAUACUCCAGGUGACAGAUCAGUCUCUGGGAGCCCAAAGAUAAAUCGUUUCCCAAAGGAGUGUGUGCUAGAGGAAAGCCCUGGUUUUAGCAGCCCCAUUUCUAGGGCUUUGGAGACAUGAACUUGGCUUCAGAGCCUUGUUCUUUCUUGCUUGGCUGUGUGUCUUUGCUCAAGUAACCGGCCUGUUUCCAUUGACACUUCCUUGACAGUUUCUCUGCGAGUAGAACUAGAUAAUGUUUUUAACAGAAAAACUAUACAAAGAAAUGAAAGUUAAGUCUGUUUAAAAAAAAAAAGUUUACUCAUUCAAAUAAAUACAGUGUGUUGUCAUACAGACAGAUCCACACGCUCUGAUAUGGGAAACACCCCACGGCAUUGGGUAGGGGAAAACCCAAGUAGCUAGGUUCUGAUUUUGUCUAGGUGAAAAUUUGAAAGGAAACACAAGUCUAUUUUUUGCUUGUGUAGGCAUAAAUUGUAAUGGUGGUUACAUGAAGUAAGUAGAACUGAGGUUAGUUCAAAACAGACUCCUUUCUAAGCAUUGUUACAAGUUUGAACUUGCUUUCCUAUGAUGAAAACCCAUGUACUCACCAUCUAGAUUUAAAACUACAACUUUUUGCCAUGUCAAGCAUCUACAUUUCCCUGAACCAUUUCAAGGGAAAUUAGACACUGUUCCUCCAAAGGAGUUAAGCUUGCAUUGCCACACAUAGCCCCUGCACAAUGCCACUGGCAUUCCAACUUCAUAAAUGAUUCCCUCAUGUCUUUCAAUUCUGAACCCAUAUUUAAAUCUCAGUUGUUUCCCAAAUGUCUUACAAUUUUUUCCCUCAUAUUUGGUUACAAAAAUCUCUUCAUUCUUUUAAUCCAAAACAGCCUCCACCCAUCUAUCCCAACACACACCUUUUCUUUUCAUACAUAGCAUUGAAGAGAUGUGGUCAUCGUCAAAGAAUAUUCCUCACUGUAGAUUUGCCUGGUGUUUCUUUGUUCCUUAAACUCCCUCAAACCAGCAGCUGGACUGAAUGGUUAGUUCAAGAAGCCAAACAGCCCCUCUAACACUUGGCCCCAAAUGGCCAAGACUUGAUCAACACCUGUCAGCUUCCCUAAUUUUUGCCCCAGCUUUUCCAGCUUCGUAGGACCAACCAGAAAAAGCCAAAUAUGCACUCCUAAUCAAUCACAUAGGAGGCCCCAUUGCUAAGUCAGCCUGCCUACAGCUUCCCCAGGCUAACACACUCUGAUCAGGGCAUACCUGCAUACUUUUCCUUUUCCACUACAAAGCCUUCUCACUCUACUGCUUACCUUUGAGUGUCUGACCAAGGCAAGUGAUGGUAGCUGAUUCCCUUGCUAUAUAUAGCAAGCUGAAAAUAGUCUUUGCUUAUUCUCACUUGACAGCGGUCUCUAUUUCCACGAUUGUUACUGAUGGCUAAGUGUGAUCACACUUAAGAUGGUAAUAGCCACCUUAUUUAACCACUUACAUUGUCAGAAUGGAAUCUGACUUUUUAAUUCAUGCCCUGCUACAAAUUUGCCUAUUUUGCCAUGUGCCUUUGUUCAUAUCUGCAAGGAAAAGAUGGUUGAAUUUCACACACAGAAUUUAUUUUCACCUUAAGCUAAUGCUUUCCAAGAAUGUAAUUUUUAGUCAAGCUUUACAUUUCUGGCCUAAUGCAUCAAUAUAAUGUUUUGCUGUUUUGAAACGACAGGGUUUGGCCAGCAACUGAACAACAACAACUUAACAAGAUUGCCCAGUAUCUUAGCCUACAGGCCCCUCAUUUAUUUAUUGCUUAUUAUUUAUUUACAUUAAACAUGUAGUCAAUUAAAUUGAUCUCAUAAAAAUGAGUUUAAUCUUAAUACAAUUUGAAUAAAAGAAGGCUACAAUCAAAUAGAAAUCAUUAAAGAUAAUAGAGUUUUGACCCUGGGAAAAUGUAUAGAGCAUAUGAAAGUCAGUUAGUAUAAUACAUGGCAUUAAGGAGGGUGUUCUGCAAACAUCAGGGCGCAAGACCACUAGGGGGCAGCACUUCCAUUUUCGGGUUAUGGUCGAUCAUGACCUGCAGCCCGUCCCAGCAACAGCCCUGCCACCUCUAGACACAGAGGCAUCAGCAAAAGACCAAGGACUCCUCGCAGUGCUCAGAGAAAACUGCACCACCAUUUCCUGUGUGGGCGGCCACGACACACUCUUUCCCUUACUUUCCAAGGCUUUUGAAGAAGAACACUUGGUGUCCCUUUCUCCAAGCUCCUCCCUUCGUGCCUUACAGUUUUAGACAAAAUACUAGGCUCAGGAAAUUAUAUGGGGAUCAACGGGGUGAGGCAAGAUGGACACACACACUUUCUCCUUAAAUCCCAGCAGAACUCUCCACCUCCAGCCACCUUGCUGCUGCUGCUGCUGCUAAGUCGCUUCAGUCGUGUCCGACUCUGUGCAACCCCAUAGACAGCAGCCCACCAGGCUCCCCCGUCCCUGGGAUUCUCCAGGCAAGAACACUGGAGUGAGUUGCCAUUUCCUUCUCCAAUGCAUGAAAGUGGAACGUGAAAGUGAGGUCGCUCAGCUGCUUAUAUUUCGGUGUUGGCCCAUCGCGUGGUUCUCUGGAUUUUUUUACCCUCUAUUUGCAGCAGCGACUGCAAUACAGGACAAAAGGCUACACUAGCAGUUUGGGUUAUAUAAAGAAAAGUACCAAACAGCUCUGCGUACUCUCACUCCUGGGUGAGAAAGGAGACAAUCUAUACUGGAUUUAGCUGGUAUUCUGCAUCAAGAAGCAGUGGAGAAAAACUGAUAAAAAUGUGUUGUUUUUCCUGGAUAAGGCGUUGAAUGAGACAUCUCAGUGUAUACGUUUUUAUCUCUCUUCUACUGCUGAAGCAAAAGGAGAGAAAAAAAACCUCCAGGAAGAUCUGAUCAGCAAACCCUUCCAGAGCGAGGUCUUCUAAGCCAAGGAGGCACUUUCAGUCCCACACUGGAAUCCUGAAAUCCUUUAUUCAUCCAUACCCCCACCCCAUCACUGGUGUGUUUCUCGCCAUGCCCUUUCAUGCCAUAAGGAAGUCAGGCCUCCACCUGGUCCUGUGGGGUCAUCUGAGGCCUGCAGGGGGCAAACCACAACAAACAACCCAAGAACCCUGGGAUGAAGGGUGCGCGGGACAAGGGGACACGCAACAUCCCCCACUGGGACCCUCUGGCUUGUUUUCAUCCUUUUCGUUUUAUUUACCUAAAGAUUGGUUUGGUUGUCAUACCCUGCUAUCUCAGCUGGCUUGAGGGCACAGACUGCCUCCUGGGGGCGUCUUGCCUUUGGGGCCCAUGCACUCGACCCUGCCAGCAGAGGCAGUGACAAGCCUGGAUGUUUUGACCGUAGCUCGUGGUGUCCCUUCCGGGGCUCUGAACCCAGCACGUGACGGUGAGUGCUUCUUGUCUCACUAGUCGGCUGCUGCGGAGAGAUCAGGAGACCUUUGCAGUGAGUUUAAUCCCUACAGGGGACCUGAUAGGUGCCUGCUUAUGGGCCUUGACCCCAUCUUCUGUGGCCAAGAUUGGCUGAGUCUCUGCUGUCACUUGGGGAGCUGCAACUGUCCCACCACUUCAGUGGUUUCAGUACCCCCUAACUGUGUCAACUGCUGCUGCUGGAUGACGCACCCAUAUCUUGUGGGGCUAGUAACUUCCCAGGGGACUGGACUGAUUCCAUGAUGGUGGCCACUACGAGGCUGACUCAGGGCUGCAUACUGACCCGAUCUGUAUUUGGAGCAGACCUCUAAGUGAUCAGACUGCUGACUCAAUCAUUCUGCUUGUGGAUAGAUACCGUAAAGGCCUUCAACCUCUCGGAGUGAUCAGUACUGGAAUGACCUCUGCUGACCCCAUGACAAUGCUGAAGAGUGUACCAGGGACACAAGUAACAUAUCAAAGCCGCUUCAACUGUGUUACCCUGAGCUCCCAUCCUGGGCAGACCGGCUGUCACACUGCCUGCUGACUGGGUCACUAGAUGAAGCAGUAAUGCCUGACUUCUUGGGAAUGCCAUCAGCGUUGAGAGCAUUGUAGAACCCACCUGUGGCACAGCGUAGGAUACUCAAGUCUGCUCUUACAAGACUGAAGGAAGCAGUGAAGGCCAAGUCUUCAGCUCCCCAACACUGGGCUCUCGACCUUGGAUGGUCAGGGAAAUGAGUGUGCAGCCUGCAAAGGACCCACAGAAGUUCUUCUAAUGGGCUUCCAUCCAGUGUUCUUCUGCAUCUGCAGACAUUUUUGACUGGUCCUAUCACUGCAUUUUUAAGGACCAAUUACCUUUGACCUGAAACAAGGAACUUACCUUCUAAGCUUUCAUGAUUUGUGCAGACAUAUACCUCUCAGAUUCAACUCUGAGAUUUUUGGUUUUAAACAAUUGUACUUCCCAUAAAUGAAGAUGCUGUCGAGCAGCAGUAUCCUUGAGGAUCACCUGCUUAGUCUAGACCCUUAAGGUGUAACAAGAGACAAACCAGGAUGUCACGAAAGCUAACUUUAAAAAACACGCUGGUUUUUAAGAAGGAGGGAAUUGUUUAGAAAUUAUAAAUAUUAGCAGAAAUAUUUAUUUCAAAUACCAGAGUGUAAAUACAAGUUUCUGUACUUCAAGGAAAAUGUGAACUUGUAAAAUGCAAAAAUUAAACAUGUAUCUUUCCUCUAAUUACUAGCAGAUAAUCUUAAUAAAAAUAAGCUGUUAGUCAAAAAAGAGCCACUGUCAUUUUUAGCAAAAUAUCUUGCAGCUUUAGACUUAUAAUUUUUUUUCCAUGGAGAACCAACAUCAGUACACACCAUUGCUGGACUCAAGGCAGGUUUUGUUUGAUUCUACUAUCAUUGCGUGUUCUGAGAUGUGCACCAGGUGCCAGCCACACCCCACAAUGUGCUCAGGAGCAGCGUGGCCCCACAGAAGCCUGUAGUGCAGUCUGUAAGAGGGCACCCGGGCCAGCCAGUCCCUCCUCUUAGCCCCCAUAGUCACCAGGUCCUCAGGGCAUCUCUGUCCAUCUCUGAAGCAAGCAGGCAUAAAGCAGCUUAGAUGGUGACCUUUCUCAGAGCAGGUAGCAUCUGUGAGGAGCUAAGAUCAUCUCCAAACUAAGCACAAGUCUGCUCUUGUCCUCAGGGCAACAUGGUAAUAAGAAAGGUCUGAGACAAGUUCCUGUAACUGCCCAAAGCCAGAAACCCCACAGAGAAGCUUCUACCAAGUUGGAUACAUCUAUAUAUAAACACAAAUCACAAUAAAAUUAAUUCAGACACCCAUUUGGGGGGAACCAGUUAGGUAAGUUAUUGGUAAACCCACCGUGACAAAGUUUUUUUGAUGUGUCAGUUUGACCAGGCCAUGGUUCCAUUAUUAAGCACUGAGCUGGGUGUUACUAUGAAGGCAUUCUGCAGAUAUGAUUAAAGCCCAUCAUCAGUCAAUAGCAAAGAGUAAGGAAGCACCCUGGAUAAUCUGGGUAGGCCUGAUUCAUUUAAAAGGCCUGAAAAUCUGAAACCUCCCUAUAAAAAGCAGAAAUCCCACUCAUGGCAGCAGCUUCAACUACCAUCUGUGGUGCUCACCCUGCAUCCUUUGCUUCCUGCCUGAGCCCGUGAGUCCCACCUGCCCACCAGGUUCUUCCUGCUGCCCUGCCAGCCCAGCCCAGUGGAUUUCAGACUGGCCUAGCCAGUAUCCACAGUCACAAAAGCCAAAUCCUUAUAACAAAUGGACACAUACAUUUACAUAUACAUCAUACUCUUCCUAAUGGUUCUGCCUCUCAGGGCUCCCCCUGUGGAUCAGCUGGUGAAGAAUCCGCCUGCAAUGCAGGAGACCUGGGUUUGAUCCCUGAGUUUCGGAAGAUGCCCUGGAGAAGGGAAAGUCUACCCACUCCAGUAUUCUGGCCUGGAGAAUUCCGUGGACUGUAUAUAGCCCAUGGGGUCACAAAGAGUCAGACGCAACUGGGCAACUUUCAUCUUCUCAGGCUGAAGCCCAACUGACAUAGGAGAACCGGAAGGGGAUGCUGCUGUUAAAAGCAACCAAGUACCUAAUUCAGGUCCUCUCAAGACCUCAGUGAAAGUAAGAUAAUAGUAAAGGAACACGAAAAGGUAUAAACCUUAAUCUCUGUGUUAUAAGCAAGCACCUUAGCUUGAUACAUAAGUUAGAUUUUUUUCCAUUAUUAAAACCUCAUUAAAACAAAUGAAAUACAGUAAAAUGAUUCCUUUUUAAAAAAAAAAAAAUCCAAAAAUAUGGGGGAGAGCACAGAGGUUUGUAACCACAAAAUCAUUUUAGAAGCUGAGAAGCAAAUGGACCAGUGGUAAACUAUUUAGUAGACCUGAGCCAAAUCCUAAAACAAUGGAGGAAAAAGCAACUGUGGCAUUACUUCAGAACUUGGGGUGGAGAUGACGGCUUACAGAUGGAAUUCAGGAAAGCCCAGGAGAAACAGAUUCCUGGAGUCCAAGCUACAGGGUUAAUGCAUUUCCCUGAACUCAGCAGAAGCCAGGAGGCUUUCCUGCCUGGAGAAUAUUGAGAGAGGAUUCCUGGAUUAGGCUUCACCAGGCACAGAUCAGAGAACUGGUGCCAUACUGAAGAGAGACGGAAUGAUACUGAGUCACCUUCCUCUGCAGAAAGAAUUCAGAUCAGGGGUUAACCCUCUCUCCUCACAGGCAGCACAAGAAGCAGGAGAUCCAUCAAAAGACAGAAGAGUCAGAGAAAUCAAAAAAACUCCCACAAAACUCUCAGGAAAGCGGAGGAAGUCCCAGGAUGAGGGCUCACACCAGACAGAGUAAAAAGUCUGGUCUGGAGUGGGGAUUCAAGACAGAAAUGUCAAGAGCUAUCAGCACCAGGGCCUCUGGCUCUUUUCUUAAUGAAGAGAACAUUUAAGGUGAUCCUGGCCCCAUUCUCAUUUGCAAUGAGAUCAAACCAGUCAAUCCUAUAGGAAAUCAGUUCUGAAUAUUCAUUAGGACUGAUGCUGAAGCUCCAAUACCUUGGACACCAGAUGCAGAGACUGACUGGGUAAGAUUGAAGGCAGGAGGAGAAGGGACGACCGAGGAUGAGAUGGUUGGAUGGCAUCACUGACUCAAGGGACAUGAGUCUGAGCAAGCUUCGGGAGUUGGUGAUGGACAGGGAAGCCUGGAGUGCUGCAGUCCACGGGGUCACAAAGAGUCAGACAUGACUGAGCAACUGAACUGAACUGGCCCCAUUCUCACCUCUCCUAGGCUUGAUCGACAUGAGCUGACGUCCUUCUCACUCCUCAGAUCAGCAGAAGAAGUCAGCAUUUCCUCCCCCGGAGGGCUCAGCUUUGGCUCACUGCUGAAAUCUAGAGGAUGGUUGCAGUGAGCAUGGAACUGCAGUCAGCAACUCCAGCCCUCUGACUAUAUUCCUGCCAGACCACGAGGACUUGGUUUGUGCACAGUAGGGACACACACCCCGAGUGUGGUGGCCCCAGUGUCCCCAGGACCCUUUCAAGUCCCUGCUUACUGACUUCCCCAAGAGGAAUGGCACUUCAAAAUCCCAAGGGAAGCUGAGACUCCCCCUGACCCAGAGGUCACACUGCUUUUCCAGCUAACGUCGUCCAAGAGCAGCAGCGCUGCCCUCUGCUCUCAGAGCUCAGUGAGUGCUUGAAGCCUGGUGUCUUCAAAACCACAUACAAUAUUGUUUCAAAACACCUCCACCGGAGGGUGAAAACAGAAAAAGCGAGGGAAUCAUUAAACCACAAGUCAGCCCAGUACUCCCUAGGGGAAAGGGAGAAUUCAAUGCUGGGCAUUAAGAGGGCUUUCACAGCAGUGGUGUGGUUCUGUUUCUUAACGACAGACACACUGUCUAUUAUUCUUUAGACCAUAUGUUUACAUUGUAGAUGCUGUUCGGUACGUAUGACACAUUUCAUGGUUGAAAAAAAGACAAAAGAUAUAAACUCACAAUAGCAAGGAGAACUGAAGGCGAAACCGUCAAGAGUCUGGAGACUACAUUCCAGAAGGCAUGAGCGCACAAGAGAGUCUGCAUGAUUGAAAAUAAGGUCCAGGAAACCCACAGGGAGAAGCGCAGGUGAGGGGGCAGAGGAUAAGACCUGGCUGUGCAAGGCCAGACCUCGGAGCCCUAUCCCUAAAGAGAAGAGUGUCAUCCCAUGCCAACUGGUUCCCCACUGUGAGUUCAUGCUUGCUCCAUGCCCCACCUGGCAACUCCUCGUAUUUCUUUCCGUCUUUGGCAUUUGUGACCCAUGUGGCUCUCUGCACUGUCAGCCCCAGGGAGCAGGGUGCUGGGGUUGGCAGCAGCCUCAGGUUUCCCAGCCCUAAACUCCAGUUGUCCAGCCCUCUGGUCAGCCUCAGAGCCUCACUCCAGCUGAAGAGGCCCAGGACUCGGUCCAGAUCCCUUCAGCUUCUUCUCCUGCAUUGGAGGUAUCAAGGACUCUUCCUGCCUCCAAAAGUCACGUGUCUCGAGGUUCCCAGAGUUGGGGUUUUGCUCAACCUCCCCAGGGCCAGGAAGGAAGUCCUGCUCCCUGCUCGUAACUCAGAUGUCAGCACGGGAUGGGGCCUCAGAGAUUCUCUUGUCUGCCCUGUCUUUGGAGGCCCAUGUGAGAUGUGUCCAAGGUCUCGAGGCUGCAGCCAAAGUUAGUUCUGCCUUUCCAGAAGGCUCUGAGCCUGUGUUAGGCAGACACCACCUGAGGGCAGAGGCUGUCAUCUCCAUCCCCUGCCUAGGCUCUGCAUGGGUUACAGACAAGCCCUGGUCCCUUCUCCUGCCACCCGGAAACAGGCUUUUGGGCCCAAACAAUCUGCCCAGGAGAGUCGUGGGUGGUUUCACACUGCAGCCCCUGGGCCAGGCUGGGUCUUCUUCACCCCUGGGGUGCAGUCUGGACCUCGCCCCCUGGUGGACAGGGACCCACCUGAGAUCACGAAGGGAUCCUGGUGUCCUUCGAGCCCCUUUGCCUUUCACGGCCCAGCCAAAACCUGCAGAUCUGAACAUGAGCCCCCAGGGCAGGAUUGGAAUCUUAACAUACAUGAGCUGCCUGGUUACAGAUGUGUUAGGACCAAACUGAAGCCAGGACAGGCUCUAAGGGGUGGGCUAGGCCUGAGAAAAGCUGAGGCUCUGGGAAUUCCCGCAGGCAGUGUAGCUCGACCAAUCAGAAAAAAAUCCCCGUAGCCCCCGACCGGCGCCAGACCUGAGCCAAUCCGGAUAGGGAUGCGAGGUUUAAAAGUCCCACGCGCGCGUACGGUUUAACCAAUCAGCUAUGCUGUUACAGAAACAAAGAACCAUCUGUAUAAAAGUAUAUGUGAUUCAGAGCUUGGGGCCUUUGUCUGAUUCCACUGUGCUGGAUGAAACAUGGGUCCUGGCUCGAGCUGGUAAUAAACCCCUUUAUGCUUUUGCAUUGCUGUGGACGUCUUAUUCUCUCAGUUUUGGGGACUUGGACUCUGGGCAUAACAUUUGGGGGCUCGUCCGGGAUCCCUUUAACUGGGAAGAAUAACACUCUCCCGGUAGAAGGGGUUUCCUCACUUGGAGGAAAGCUAUCUGAACACCUGUGUUAAGUUUGGUUAGCUGGCGUAAGGCCGAGGCCUGGCAUCGUGCUGGGAAGGCAGCUGGCUCUGUGAACGCCUUGUUGGUAAGAUAACCUAGAGGGAUAGGAGGGUUCAGGGGGCCCAGGAAGACCUAGUACUGUGUUCUCGGCCGAGGUUUGUCUCCUCUGUUCGUCGCAUCUUUGUGGGUGCCGGCAUUGUCACUGCUCUCUGCGUGUUCAUCUUGUCUCCUGUGUUCUAUCCUGUAAUCAUGGGGCAAGAGACUUCCACUCCGUUGUCCCUUAUGACUGACCAUUUUUCUGAUUUUAAGUCUAGAGCACAGAAUCUAUCGGUGCUGGUGAAGAAGAACAGAUUAAUAACUUUUUGCAGCGCAGAAUGGCUGACCUUCCAUGUAGGCUGGCCCUCAGAAGGCACCUUUGACUUGGGAACUGUACACCAAGUCCGAGAUAUCGUCUUCCGACCGCGGAUCGGACACCCUGACCAAGCCCCCUCCUUGGGUAAAACCUUUUUGCCUCAACAGGGAUGUUCUACCCCUCAGGUGUUGGUGACACAUAUAAGAAAAAAAAAAAAAUCUCAAGGAGCCUGAACCAACGGCACCGCUAUAUGCCCCAUCUUGCAGGGGGAAUUGUUAGGGGAAGCACACUGAUUGAGACCGCCCCACCCUGGCCAGGCACCAUAGUAACCAUUUGCAUGAGCUGUUUUAUGACAGGAGAUCCUGAUUAGGAAUAUGGAACUAAUAAGCCUCCACCAACCGGAAGAGUUUGGGGAAGGUUUAAAGGAGACACCGCCUGUACAUUGUGAGCCACGCGGCAGAGCAGUUCUCCUGUGUUUCCUUACCCUGCCGUUCCCCACCCGGGUACCCUUUCCCAAUAAAAUCUCUUGCUUUGUCAGCACAUAUGUCUCCUCGGACAAUUCAUUUCCAAGUGUUAGGCAAGAGCCCAGUUUUGGGCCCUGGAAGGGGUCCCUCUUCCUGCAACAAAUGGUGACUCUGGUGAGAUUCUUCUUCGCCGAGACUGACAUCCUGACCACUCGGGGUACUCAGGGGCCAGCUUGCCUGCCAAUGGGCCAGACCCAGCAGCUGCAACUGGGACCCUUUUGUCCCUGGUCUCCUCCCGACGCAGACAACUGGCCAGAGUGCCCUGACCGGUAAGGAACAAGAGACUUUAUUGAUCUCUCUCCCCUUCCCUCUCUGUCUCCUCUCCUUAACCCUUCCUAUCCUUCCUUGUUUUUCUAGUCCCCUGGUCCUAGACGCAGAAAUCUGGUCGAAGGGCCCUCAGCCUGAGCUGAGGAUUGGGGACUGAUCACCUCCUCUUGGCAGAGAACUCUAAUUCUGGUUCUGAUUUCUGGUAGGGCCGAGUUCCAGUCCUCCCUUCUCUGGAGGCCCAGGGAAAAGUCCCGUAAGGCCUGGGUAUCUGUAGGUGGCAGGAGACGUCUGUAAGGCCACCCCUUUUGCCCCCUCUCCUGCCUCCUCCCCCUUCUUCUUUCACCCUGGCUUCCUUUCCUCCCUUAAAAUCUUUGAUGUUAUGGAAAGGCUUGGUGGGCUACAGUUCACAGGUCGCAAACAGUCUGAUAUGACUGAGCGACUUCACCUUCACUUUGAUGAGGACUGCCGGGUUUAUAUGUGUGUGUUUUAACUCUGUGAUCUGUGUAGUGACUUUUUGAUGGCCAUUUUGCUUUGUCUGGCCACCAUGUGGUUUAGACCUGCGGCCAUCUGUUAGAACUUGAUUUUCUUUCCCUGUGCCUUGAGACCAGGGCUCUUAAGAACACUUAUCUAGACUAUCUCUAACUCCUGACACUGGAAAGUAAAAAAAAAAGACUUAAAGCUAAAUCUUGCACUGUGUCUGUCUAAAUAUGUCUUGGUAUGUCUCUGUCUCUGGGUAAUAUUUUUUAAGUUAAUUUGUAUAUGAGAUCUAUUUAUUUGGCUUAAAAAAGAUAAGCGCUUACAAAUCAAGUAAUUCUAAAUUAAACAAUAAAUUCCAGGUUUAUGUGAACUGGGAAAUAUUCAGUGUUAAAUACCUGAUAUUAAUGUUUGUUUGUUGACCUAUUUAAUAUAGACAUGUCUUUGAGUACUUAACGUUAAAAAAAAAUAUUUUCAUUGUACCUAGGUUUAAUAUGUUAAAUAUUAUAUCUGUUACAAGUUUGUCAACAAGAAAAUUACCUCAAGUAAAAAACUUCAAAAAAAUGUAAAUGAGAUAUGAGCUUUUAGAUAAACUCUAUAUGCUUUAGGAAUGUCUGUCUGAAAUAGUCUGUCCAAAUUGGGGUAACUUAAAUUAAAAGUUCACUGACUAGCUAGCUCACUUCCAAAUAAAAUAAAAUUUUAAAACAUUUAUUACUGAACAUUAGUUUCCUCUUACAAAGAAGCUAAAGAAAUUUGGGACUGUUAGUGACUAAAAAUAAGCUGGCGCAAAAACUUGAAUUUGGCUUUUUCCUCUGUUAAAAGGACACACUUUCUUCAGAUGUUGAACUGCAUUUGACAAUAGAUUUAAGUUCAUUUGCCUCUUAAAUGGUCUGUUCUGUAUUUGCCUCUGAAAUCCCAUAUUGUUACUUUGGCUGAGUGAAUAGCUAUUGUUUCACAGUGACCUAUAGUCCCAUCUGACUGAGUGCUCGAAACCUUUCUGGUAUUUGUUGACAAAACUUACUCUAAAUCAUUCUAUGAAGCACUUUUGUCUUCUAGCUGACUUUGGGGUGCUUCAGAGGGCCCCUGAAGCAUCCCAAAGAGAGAUAUUAAACUGUUUAUUUGGUUGGUUAAAUUACAUAAAAAAAGAUUAUCAAAUGAGUAAUAAAUCUGCUCAUAUUAUAAUGUAGGGUAAAAUUACUAAUACAGAUAUCCUAAAAAUUAUAUGGAGUUUUUAACAUCCUGAUAUGUCCUGGUAUUUUAAUGGAAAACCUGAUGACUUCACAAAAGUUAGCAAAAAGACUAAAUGAACCAGUGAAUAUGCUUAUAACUUUUAUGGUUUCUAUCUGAAAAAUUAUGGGGUUAAAUCUUAUGUUUUCAGGGAGUAGGGAAAAUCUUUCUCUCAAUACUUUGGUAAAAUUAAACGUUAUAAACAGAACAAUUAUAUUUUCUAUCUGACUCCUCCAAAAAUUGGAAGUUCUUAGGUUCCCAGUAAGUUUAUCAAAUGAGUUAGGAAGUUUAUCUCACGGAUACAAAAAUCUCAAAAAUUUUUUGAGACCUUAAAAGGAAAAAAUUCACCUAGAUUUGUUAGGCAAAAUCUGUGAUAAGCCUUUGGUGUGAGUUUCUCAGCCCUGUUUUAUUUUAAAAAGUUCAGUCUGAGACUCUAUAAAUGUUUCAGCAAAAUAAACAGCCUAUAAUCAAUUAUGGUUAUAAAAAUCAUCAGACCAAAAUCAGUGAGAACAGACCUAUUUUGCAAACAAACUAGCCUUAAUUUGGUUAUAUUUAAUAAAAAUAAG